UUUCCCUCUCCAGUUGUAUCGCUGCAUCGUUUCCCUCCCAAUUAGAAAACAAUUGAACUGAUUUCGUUUCCCUCCCAAGUUGAAUCGCUGCCAAAAAAAGAAACUAUCUAGCUGCUGCGUCAAAAACCCUAACACGCUGCUGCGUCAACUCCACUGCAUCAACGGUAGUGCGAUUUACAGUGUGUAAACAACAGUGGCCAUCUUCUUCCUAGAGACGUACCCUAGCAAAUAGAAACAAUAGGGCCAAGCAAACGAUGCCUCACACAGGAGGAUCAAAAAGUAUUGCCACCUUGAUGAAUGAGCAGAUCCCCGACGCCAAUAGUGGACAUGAACGAGUACCACAAACAUCAAGAAUGCCUAGUGUUGCUGAAAAUGCUCAACCUUCUCAUGUUUCAGGUCAUACAGUUUGAUGUUCGAUAAUUUAGAAGUUGGAAGAUUUCAAAAUGAUGAGAAGUUGCGGAAAUCAUUUGAAAGACCAUCAUUCUGGAUUAUUACUAUGAUGACAUUAGCUAUUUAGUCCAAAGAAUAUAUUUUUGUGUUUUAAGUUACGAUGAUAUUAAUAUUUUUGAUUAGUACUUCC